UGGGAAGAGUUAUCUUUUCUUUUUAACGACUUUCCCACCUUGAAAUCGGUUCAAUCAGAGAUAGGGUCCAACAUCUGGAAGAGAACCACACGUCUUGCGAUGUUUGGUUCCCCCUCAAUGACCAUUUAAAAUAUGGAGAACCGAGUACCAUCCAUGCCCGACCGUACUCAUAUCUGCCUCC
rnacentral:ncRNA from 1 species